GGUAUUUUGGCCGAGUUGGUCUAAGGCGCCAGGUUAAGGUCCUGGUCUCUUCGGAGGCCUGGGUUCGAAUCCCAGAGAUAUCA
rfam:Nadsonia fulvescens var. elongata DSM 6958 unplaced genomic scaffold NADFTscaffold_5, whole genome shotgun sequence.